CUUUUUUUAAAAAAAAAAAGAAUCAACCUUCACUACUCGUAAGAUUUGAUGAGAUGAAUGUAUCAUUACAGUUUAGAGUAAUGAAGUUCCUAUAAAAAUCAUUUACAUCAUAACCAAUAUUAAAAUAAUCCAAAUUGUUUACGCCAGUAAUUGAUCAACUAACCCAAUAGCUUAUUGCCCUUGUAGCAACCAGCAAUUCUUGAGCUGAGACCUGGCACUUUCCCUAAAAUUCUUCACCCUCAUCAAGCAGAAAUGGGUGCAGCAGACUCCUAACCCAGAUGACCCAGCUCUGCUCGUCUUCAACAAGUAGCACACCGGGCCACAAUCAACCCCUUUCCCCUGCACAACUAUUCCCCAAGCCCUCGUCAUCCCUUCCCCUUCCCCUUCCCCUUCCUCUUUCUCAUCCUUCUCCAAUUGCUCCACGAAU
rnacentral:misc_RNA from 1 species